rnacentral:rRNA from 1 species
UACGGAGGGUGCAAGCGUUGUCCGGAUUUAUUGGGUUUAAAGGGUGCGUAGGCGGCCUUUUAAGUCAGUGGUGAAAGCCCAUAGCUCAACUAUGGAACUGCCAUUGAUACUGAAAGGCUUGAGUACAGACGAGGUUGGCGGAAUGGAUGGUGUAGCGGUGAAAUGCAUAGAUACCAUCCAGGACUCCGAUUGCGUAGGCAGCUAACUAGGCUGUAACUGACGCUGAGGCACGAAAGCGUGGGGAGCAAACAGG